GAAUAUCUGAACCUUUCUGCUCCUCAAGUCUGCCGAUGAAGCCAAUCAAGGGGAUCUUCUUGUCAACAGGCAAGCCAACUGCUGCUUGAAGAGCCUCCUUUAGUAAAGGUUUUGCGUCCAUGACAGUGGUUAUAUCGUAUUUGACAUCUGUGUAUUUGUCAGUCGCUGGGUUCCACUCUUGUGUAUCCAUGCCAUUCACAAUCCCAGUUAUGCAAGUCUUACGAAGGACACUGUCCAAUUCAACACCCUUGUCAACAGCAGAGACAAGUUCUUGGGCAUAGUAUGGGCUUACUGUAACCACCCUAUGUGAUUCUAAUAUCCCAGCCUUCAUCCAGUUGAUUUUCCUACCCUUAACAGGUUUCUCAUAUCCAUCAAUGAAAUCAAAAGAACCCCUGAAUUCAUCAGGAAGAUUGAGAAGAGGGAAGUCAGAGAAAGAAAAUCUGCCUUGGUAGGCAAUGUUAUGGAUGCAGAAAGCGACCUUGGCAUUCAAAUAGAUUCCUCUGGACUGGUACAUUGACUUUAAGUAGCAGGGAAUUAGAGCUGUGUGCCAAUCAUUGGCAAUGAAGAGAACAUCCUCUCCAUAUGGUCCUGAGAAGUAGUUGCUACUGUUCAAAUUCAAAACUCUAGGUGCCUCUAGGGCUGCUUGACACAACAAGCUGAACCUAAGUUCAUUGUCCAGAUAAUCCAGUCCAGCUUUGGGGCCGUAGAUUUUUGAACCAGUUUUGCCCCAAACUUUCUCCAAGAACAUUGGGUGGUCAACAAAAACACGAUCAACCCCACGUUUAUAGCAGUGAAAGAAGCGAACAAUUUCAAUGCUGUCUCCAACUUUGACCUCAAGGGCAACGCUAGUAUCCCAAGCAUCUUUGUAUUGGUCAUAACGGGGGGAUAUUGUCAUUACCCGAUGUCCGCGGGCUGCAAGGGCUGGUGGUAGUCCACCAAGAACAUCACCUAGUCCACCAGUUUUGCUCCAAGGACCAACCUCAGUACCCACAAAGAUCAAGUUCAUUCCCUUUCCACAAACAAUGGUAGCUGACUUGGUGGAUCUCAUCUUGGGUGUUACCUUAGUAUUAGUUCUUGAUUGGAGCCCAUCAAGCUUGUUAACAGCCCUUAACCCAUUGUGUGUCAGAGUAUGGUUCCUGAGUCCUAUCUGUGACAAGGUUGAUUUGGUGUCUAGUGAAGUUUGGACAUUUGAGCUUCUUGACACAAAGUGUGAAGCUGUGAUGCUUGCCAUGUGUGGUCGAAAUCUAUAAAUAAAUACCUACAGAUGGAUGAACAAAAACA
rnacentral:misc_RNA from 1 species